rnacentral:rRNA from 1 species
GUGUCGAUAAGAAAAUAAUUAUAAAAUAUUAAUUAUUUUAUAAAAUAUUUCUUCAUUAAUUUUUCUGAGGAUAAGCUCGGAAAAAAGUUAAGAUAUUUUACUGAUUUAGGUUGUUAUGUGAGCUUAAAAUUGGCCAUCAUAAGAGUUUGUUAUAAAACAACAAUCUUAAUAUUUAAAAUAAAUAUAUUUUAUUCUAAUUUUUUUACAGAAAUAAGAACUAUAAUUAAUAAAUGUUUUGUGCCUAUGCUAGGAUGAGUAUUAAAAUUUUGUAUAUUUAAGAAAGUUUUAUGUUUUUUCUUCAGAAAAGAUAUUAAUCAAACCAAACUAGUUAGAAGGAACUCGGCAAAUUCAAUGCUUUCGCCUGUUUAUCAAAAACAUGGCUCUUUGCAUUUAUUUUAUAAAGAGUCAGGCCUGCCCAGUGAAUAGUAUUUAACGGCCGCGGUACUCUGACCGUGCAAAGGUAGCAUAAUCAUUUGCCUUAUAAUUGAAGGCUAGUAUGAAUGGUUUAACGAAAGCAAUACUGUCUCCUUUCUACUUCCAAGAACUUAACCUUUAGGUGAAGAGGCCCAAAUUUAAUUGAAGGACAAGAAGACCCUGUCGAGCUUAAAAGAUAUUAUAGAAGUUUAUAUAUUUUUAGAUAAAUUUCCUAUUAAAGCUUUUUAGUUGGGGCGACUAAGGAACAAAAAAAGCUUCUUAUAAUAAAUAAACAACCGGGUUUUGAUCCGAUAAUAAUCGAUUAAAGGAAUUAGUUACCGCAGGGAUAACAGCAUAAUCCCUCUUGAGAGACCUAAUCGAAAGAGGGGGUUGUGACCUCGAUGUUGGACUAGAAUAUCCUAAAGAUGCAGAAGUCUUUAAGGG